UAUUUUAAANAGGGGAUAAUGGAAUAGGACAUGCGGUUACAAGAUGUUGGAAACNAGUAGGGCAGUAUGAAGUAAUAGGGAUNCUCGGCGGUGUCAGUANUCAGCGGUCAGAGAUGAAUUUGGGGGAUAUGGACAAGAUUAGUAGUGCGAAAGCAUUGGCCAGGGAUGUUUUCCUUCAUCAGGAAACGAAAGUCAGGGGAUGGAAGACGAUCAGAUACAGUGGUGAGGUUAACCAUAAAAUAGCAAUUAUAGGGAUCGGUCGGGCCUCCAUAUAAGACCGUUCGGCCCCCUCCAUGAAAAAAAACUAGAUAGGUUUUGGGGGGAGUAUGGCCGCAAGGUUUAAAGACAAAGAAAGUUUCGGAAGGGCACCUCAAGGUAAGGAGCCGGCGGCNUACUUUGAGUCAACACGGGGAAACUCUCCAGGUCCAGACACCAUAAGGACAUACUCCCCCCGAAAUCCUUAAUGAUCUUUUGGAUGGUGGUGCAUGGCCGUUGUCAGUUGGUGGAGUGAUUCGUNCGCUUAAUUGCGAUAACGAACGAGACCUCGGCCCUUAAAUAGCCCGGUCCGCAAUUGCGGGCCGCUGGUUUCUUAGGGGGAGAAUAGGCCCAAGCCGAAGGAAGUGCGCGGCAAUAACAGGUGUAAGUUGCCAGAAUUAUACUUUGGGCCGCACGCAUAGCUACGCCCCCAGGGCAUCAGCGAGUUACUACUNCUANCCNG
rnacentral:rRNA from 1 species